ACUCACUAUACGAGGACCAGAGUGUCUUUGGCAGGUGGAGGCUGGCUCACGGGAGAACACCAAGUGAGGGGGCUCCUCUGUGAACCCAAGAAACUUCAAGGAACCCCACAGCGUCUCCCUUAUGACCUCCCAUCUCCAGAUUAGGAAGCUAUGGAUUCCCAGAGGGUCCUUUGGAAGUAUCUAGAAAUGUCCAGGGUGAGUCUAGCCAGGUUCACCUUCAGGAUGCUUUCCCCAUGCCCUGUGGUUGAGACGGCUCCGAUGUCAUUGUCGGCAUAACCUCCAGCUCCUGCUC
rnacentral:lncRNA from 1 species